rnacentral:rRNA from 1 species
CCUACGGGUGGCAGCAGUGGGGGAUAUUGCACAAUGGGGGAAACCCUGAUGCAGCGACGCCGCGUGAGUGAAGAAGUAUUUCGGGAUUUAAAGCUCUAUCAGCAAGGAAGAAAAUGACAGUACCUGACCAAGAAGCCCCGGCUAACUACGUGCCGCCAGCCGCGGUAAUACGGAGGGGGCAAGCGUUAUCCGGAUUUACUGGGUGUAAAGGGGGCGUAGACGGUUAGGUCAGUCUGGAGUGAAAGCCCGGGGCCCAACCCCGGGACUGCGUUGGAAACUGUGUAACUGGAGUACAGGAGGGGUAGGCGGAAUGCCUGGUGUAGCGGUGAAAUGCGUAGAUAUCAGGAGGAACACCGGCGGCGAAGGCGGCCUGCUGGACUGAAACUGACGUUGAGGCUCGAAAGCGUGGGGAGCAAACAGGAUUAGAUACCCGGGUAGUC